GACACGGCUAGAGGAAUCAUAGAAAAUUAAGAUUGGAAGAGAGCUCAGAUCAUCAUCUAGUCCAACCCCCUACUCAAAGCAGGACCAACACCAACUAAAUCAUCCCAGCCAGGGCUUUGUCAAGC